ensembl:lncRNA
CUCUUGUUCUGUCUCUAUCAGGCCAUAUAAAAAGUCUGUCUCCCUUAUGUUAAUAAGCUCUCCUCAAGUACUGGAAGGCUGCAGUGAGGUCUCCCCAGAGGUAUUUUUUCUGUAGGCUGAACAAGCCCAGCUCCCUCAACCUUUCUUCGUAGGAGAGAUGCUCCCUUGUGCUGGGAGUGACAUGUAGCCCUCAUUCUACCUCAGCUGAUUUCAAUAACCCAUCCACCCCAAAACCCGUCCUGUUCUGCUGAGCUGCAUCAGCAGGAGGUGGUUACAGGAGGGUGCUGCUCCUUGGGGCUGGAGCUGGAGGUGAGGGGAGGAAGGAGUGCAGUAAUGGGGAAGGAAGAGCAGGGGAACCUAAGAAGAGGAACUGUGCCCCGUCAGUGGUAUAGAGUGGCUAGAUCAGCUCAGCCAUCUCAUGCCCACACCCUCAGUAAACUGGGACAGCUGGGACAUGGAGACAUGCUUCCUUCUGCUUGUUUUGCCCAGGAAGUGGUGAUCUGAGGGUGACAGGGCAGGCAGCUGCAGGGUGUGACUGUCUGGCUUCUCCGCCAGUCCCAGCACUGCAGUCACCUCCAAGACAUCCUCAUGGGGUGAUGCCCAAACUGCCCGAGGCAGGGAGAAGGACACAGACCUGUCCUGGAGCAGCCGUGGGGACCUGUCCCCAUCUAUGUGCUGCUGUUAGAGUGCUGUUAACCCCAAUUGUGUAGGCUCAGUCAUGCAGCAUUGGCUAGGACUGUUCUUGUGGCCCCGUGCUUCAGAGUGAACAAAACUGAAAAACAGACUUUACUCAGUCUGAAUUCCUUAAUAAGUGACUCAAACUUGCUUUAAAAAGUGUUUAUUUAAAAGUUAACACACAUUUUCCUAGUUUCUUUUUAAUGAUGCUUGGCAUCUUCCUCUUAAGUCGUGUGGCUUUUGCAGUCAUCAUGAAUCAACUCACUCUCCUCAGCUUCCUAUGAAAGUGCAUAUGAGCAAUGUAUGAAGUAAUAUGCACUGCAAUAGUGAGGCCUCUCUUUCAUUCUGUAAUGCAGCUGUUCCAUGGUGAUUUUCUUCACCCUCGAUAACAACCUUGACAUUCAUCAUGCUUCUUUUGAGAGACAAAGCUGUAGCUUGUCCUUUCUUCUAGGUUAGCAGCUGUCUACUGAUAAAUUUAAUAUGACUCUGCUGUUUUUGUGCUUGAAGGGCCUUCACUGGAAAAGAUAAGAAGUUUAUAUGUGGAAGCACUAUGUGGUGGUAUAGGAAACAGCAGCUUGGAAAGAUAACUUACAUUGUUAAUUUGCCCAGAGAAAAGGGUUAGUGAUAAAGUGAAGUGGUCUGAAGACAAAAAUAGAAGGAACGAAAGUCAGGGUGUAGGGAGACAUGGUGAAGGGAAAGCAAAUGUCGUGUCUGCUGGUGUGGAAUAGCAUUAUUUGAUGCAUGCAAUCAAAACAUUUAAGGAAAGGUUAAUGAGAUGAAUGCAUUUUCUGACAAAGAUCUUGUAAGGAAUCAAACACUGUGCAAAAGAAUUCAGAGAUGCAUUGAGCAUUGCAGAUAAAUACACUGAAGUGUUCUAAGUACAUCCCUGGAGGCGAUCAAUGCCAGGUUUGAUGGGUUCUUGGGCAGUCUGAUCUAGUGGUUGGCAACUCUGCCCCUGGUGAGGGAGCUGGAACGACAUGAUUUUUGGAGUCCCUUCCAACCCAAGCCAUUCUAUGAUUUUAUGAUUCUAUGAUAAGUACGGUUUUAAAUAUCCAAAUGGAAAUUAUUUCUGCGCUACCUUUAGGGCCACUGUCAGGUGCUUGUAGAAAUGCUGGGUCUCAAAGCAGCACAUCACUUUCUCCAUUAAAUACUGCUGUAAAAAUCGGGCUGCCCUGCUUAGUUUCACUGCUUUGGAGCACCGAGGGCAAGCUGUCAUGUUUUCCUGUGAUAUAUUUUCUUUUAAGUUCAGUUUUCUAAAACAAACUAAAGAGGAGAGAAAUGUUAGUAGUCUUGCCCAUAAACACACAAAGUGAUAAAUACUUUUCUCAAGUAAGGAAAGAACAGCAAUUUUCUUGAAUUCCUGUAUGAACAUUAUCAGAUAAUGUCUUGUAACCUCUAUUGUUAAUGAGGGGUUAAAUGGCGUUAGGAUAGUUAGAUAUUUGUGGAUAGAAAAUAUGAAGCCUUUAAAAUUGUUCUGCUCCCUCUGUCCAAUGUAAAUGGAAGAAAGCUACUUUUAGGCAGGUUGCACAGUAUAUGAGAACUGCAUUUUUGUAAUUUGUUCUCUGUAACCAGUCCCAUGCCACAAGCCACUUAAUGAAGAGCGUGUGGGCAGAAUGCUGGCAGGUAGAUCUGCUCUUGCAUGUUUCCUAGAGCCGUGCUGCUGUGUGAGCCAAGCUUGGGAGUUCUGCCCAGCUGUGUGUCCUCUGUGGUGGCUGUGGCCUUGUGAGCCUUCUCUUUACACAGCUUUGGCCAUUCUGCUUCUCUGCUUUAACAGGAGGUUGGACUAGAUGAUCCUCAGAGACCCCUUCCAACCACUGUGAUUCUGUGUGAUGUUGCUGCUUUAGCUUGUAAAGGAUUGCAUGGGGCCUUUGAAAUGGUGUCAACAGAUUCAGAUCUCUGAAUUGGGCUUAUAUUCAUACUCCAGCAGUGCAGCUCAGCUCCUCUUCAGCCACAUGGGUUGGUCUCACUAAUCUGCUGUAGGAGGUGCUGAUUGUUUUCUCUUCCCAGUUAGGCUGUGCCCAGUGCCAAGGCUGGCAGAGAAGGGCAGUGGUCUUCCAAGAAGUGGAGAGUGAAGCUGGCUUAGAAAAGAAGGAAAUCAAAGGGUUUUCCUCAUUUCUAAGCAGGUGUGAGAGUGAGGACAGAGGGGUUUCUCCUUCCAUUUGACACUGGUAGAGGUUUUGCUGUUGGGUAGGUUGACUGUGCUGCUACUUACCUGUGACGCCAGGGGUUGCUCUUCCUAGCUGAGGACCCGAGACACUCAUGUUGUUUGAGAUUUCAAGGUUUAUGCACAGUGUUGUUGCCUGUUCUUUUGCUUUUUGAACCCUGAAUGAGGACACCCUUGGAGACAACCAUGCACUGGACAUAUGGGCCCCUUGCAAAACCCUGUGCUGGAAUCAUCCACAGUUCAGCCUGUAAGCAUGAGGUAAUCCACGUGAGAACUGCUGGUGUCAGCAUAAAAUAACCAAAAGUGAAGGUAUACCUCAGGAGAUGACUUCAGUCCUUGGGAUAGCAGGACGUGUGUAAGACAAGAACAUCUGAAUGGUCCCAAGAAGUGGAUCUACAGCUGUUGGCUGUUCCCUCUGCAGGCUUUGGUAGUUUUUACCUUCUGUCAUUUUAAAAAUACAGGUGAUGUAAUUAAAGCUAUACUCCUCCUUCUGGGGAGAGGAUUUGCAUCCUUCUCUCUUGUGGUGGUUUUGGAAUGGACAAUUUGUGUGAUGGAUUUUGUGGAGCUGAAACUGGGAAUUUUGGUGUAUUCUCUUCUUCACUGUGUGAAUUUUUUACAGGGUGAAAGAAGGAAGUGGUUGGCCAAGUCACUUUUUUUUUUCCCUUUAUCACAACUACCAGUAAUAACCACGGGGAAAACAUGCGAACAGUGAGCAUACAGCGUAAAGCUAUAUAUGGGAGAAGGCUGCUUAUUGUGAGCCUGCUGUCCGCGAGACUACACCCUGUCUCAACAUGGCAAACGCACUCGCAAAUGCCAUCUGUGAGCGCUGUAGAGGGGGCUUUGCACCAGCAGAGAAAAUCGUCAACAGCAAUGGUGAGCUGUACCACGAGCAGUGCUUCGUGUGUGCCCAGUGCUUCCAGCAGUUUCCUGAAGGGCUCUUCUAUGAGGUAAGCUGGGAAAAGUAACUACAGGCUGAUUGAUACCUUAGCAAAUGCUGUUGAAGAAAUGGAGUUCCAAAAGAUUGUGCCUGGCAGAGGGGAGAAGAAAGAAGAAAUGUUUCUUUUUUUCUGUGCCUGUUUGGAGUGUGUGUAACCUUAUUUAAGUGUGUAACUUAGUGUUACUAGGGCUGAGAAAAGAAUUACUGGAGAUUUCUCUCCCUGUGCAGAUUUUUUUCCUUAAAAUCUGUAGACUACAUAUUGUAUCAGAAAUACAGGGAAAGCAUUCUUCUUAGAAGAGAGUCAUCAAAGGGAAAUCCCAGCAUCCUGCAGUAUUUAGGUUUAUUGCUGAGUGAGUGACUGAGGGCCUGCACAGCUUCUGAAAUAUUGCUUGUAGAGAUGACCCUUAAGGCAGCAUGCUGAGGUCAAGGUGUGUUGACAACCAAAAUCAGAUGAGGCCUGAGUCAGGUAAAUCCAGUGAUUUAUGUACUUUCAAGGGAAAGCUCCACUUGCCUUUCUUUAACCGUAGGUGUAAGGAAGGGUAGAUCGUGGGAGACAGGGUUUCAUCAUUACUAUUACCUGAAGUUUGUGGAUGGCUAGCUGAGGCUCGAACAGAUUAAAGGUAGAGUUCUCAAAAUUGUCAAAUGUUUCAUUGCUUCCGAAAAUGCUGUUUCACUUUCACAUGAAGUGCCAUCAUUGUGUCAAGAGCACAACAUUUCAUCUUCCACAGUGGCAUUUUUAAUUACAUAGAGUCAUGCUAUAUGGUGAGGGGAAGGAGACUAGGCAAGGAGUGUUGACUGGACAAAGAGGCUGGCAAAGGGGAUUCCUGGGCUCGCGGUCUCUCACCUUGCUUGAGGAUCAAAAGGUUUUUCAGUGCUGUAGAGAUAGUGUUGCACAGUUUGUGGCAAAUGAGCCAGCAGUGGUCCAUGACACAUCAAAAGGUGGGCUGCAAACAGUGGCAAUUAAGAAAAGACAAAACAAAACACCCCUUGAAUACUUACACCUUGCAUUAUUAUUGUUAAUACUAUGUGAGUUGCUCCCUGCUUGCAGGCAUGGUAAAGAGUCUGCCUUGACACAUUAAGACUUGAGUCAAAUGUGAAGUGAUUCAUACAUUUUAAAAGUAAAACAUUUGUUGAUAAAUUGUCUUAAAACAAUAAUAUGUAUUUUCUCUAAAUAAUGAGCACUUUAUUCAUCAUUUUUCUGACUCUCAAAUAACAAUGGGACAAUUCAUAGACCUCUUUCAGAAAGUGGAAUGGUCUUUUGAGAUAAACUGCUCCAGGCAGCCUGUCUCUCCUACAGGACAGAUAGAGGAGGGCUGCAACGGAAAGAAAGUCUUAUGUUUGCGCCUGGUCUAGGAAUAUUACAACCUUUCUGUUGCUCAUCUGUGGCCAUAGCUGAACAUAUUUGGUAGGGG